UUCGCCUACGGGGGGCAGCAGUCGGGAAUAUUGCGCAAUGGAGGAAACUCUGACGCAGUGACGCCGCGUGCAGGAAGAAGGUUUUCGGAUUGUAAACUGCUUUAGACAGGGAAGAUAAUGACAGUACCUGUAGAAUAAGCUCCGGCUAACUACGUGCCAGCAGCCGCGGUAAUACGUAGGGGGCAAGCGUUAUCCGGAUUUACUGGGUGUAAAGGGAGCGUAGACGGCCAGACAAGUCUGAAGUGAAAAUCCAGCGCUUAACGUUGGAAGUGCUUUGGAAACUGCCGGGCUGGAGUGCAGGAGGG
rnacentral:rRNA from 1 species